rnacentral:lncRNA from 1 species
ACCAAGUCUGCUUGAACCAAUAUUGCAACUGAAAUUUGUCGAAGGCCGAGGCAUUUGCUGAAACAGGAAAUGGAGAACAUUACAGCAGAGUGGAGCCCUUUUGGUAAUGAUGCAUGGGGCUGAAAUGAUGUGAAGGGGAAACCAUUUAACCAUGUAAAUUGAACAAAGGAGAGUUUCAUAAUAAUGACCCCAGGCCCUAGCAUGCUGGAGAAUUUUCAGGUCGGAGCUGUUGUGGCUAGUUGGUGAGAACGUCUGUCUAGUUGGUGAGAACGUCUGUCCAUUUUUACUGAACCUGCUGACUUCCCAGAGUUCCAUUGGUGGCUUUCUGGAUUGCCUUAGGUCUUGCUUCAGGACAACGGAAUGGUAUAUCUCCUAUGGGUCCCCUUAAGCUUAUCUUUUGCUCAUUUGCUGUCCCUCUAAGGAAACCUUGGGUCAUGAUAACUGUUUCUUAUUUUGGUGGUUUGUAUACGAAUGGCAUCCAGAGACUCGUGUGUUUAUUCACGUGUUUGGCCCCUGGAGCAAUAAAACAAAAAGAAGUUAUAUUUACAAUCUCAGACUGAUAAAAAUUUAUAGCUAAGAAGACCCACAGAGAUUAACUGGGCCUGCUUACCCUAUUCCACCGUUUGCAUUGAGGAGAGACAGAAAUCAGAGGUCAAUGGACUUUCCCAGGAUGCAAUAGUUCGUGAGUAGUUUACUAAAGAUGAAUUCUGGGCUAUGGUCAGUGUCUGGCUUCUCACAUGUUUUCCUAAAGGAUACAGGCAAUAGUCAAUCUUUUCUGUCAGGCUUCUUAUUUGUAUUGCUUUCUUU